UCAGGCUUGAAAGUUGGGCUUAUAUUUAUGUGUUUCAAUACGACCAGUUUCGUCCUGUGAACAUAAGUAAUACCGGCAUUUUCCAGCUCUACGCCGUUAAGGCUUUAAUUAUUUUUUUACAGGAUUCAUAUUAUGUCUCAAGUUACUGGUGUUGUUAAGUGGUUCAACUCUGAUAAAGGUUUUGGAUUUAUCGAGCAAGAGUCUGGCCCAGAUGUAUUCGUACAUUUCCGCGCUAUCAACUCUGACGGUUUCAAGACUCUUGACGAAGGUCAAAAAGUGUCUUUCACUGUGACUCAAGGUCAAAAAGGUCCUCAAGCUGAGAACGUUUCAGUAGUUGGCUAAUAAUACCUAGCCCAGCGCUAAGUAUUGAAAAUAGGCUGCAACUUAGGUUGUGGCUUUUUUU
rnacentral:sRNA from 1 species